UACGUAGGGGGCAAGCGUUGUCCGGAUUUAUUGGGCGUAAAGAGCGUGUAGGCGGCCAGGUAGGUCCGUUGUGAAAACUGGAGGCUUAACCUCCAGCUGUCGAUGGAAACCAUCUGGCUAGAGUCCGGAAGAGGAGAGUGGAAUCCCUGGUGUAGCGGUGAAAUGCGCAGAUAUCAGGAAGAACACCCGUGGCGAAGGCGGCUCUCUGGGACGGUACUGACGCUGAGACGCGAAAGCGUGGGGAGCGAACAGG
rnacentral:rRNA from 1 species